UCCAAAUUUUACAGAACAAUUCCUUUAAUGAAGGGAUUUGUUCUGUGAAGUUUGUAUU
rnacentral:pre_miRNA from 1 species